GGUAGUCCACGCCGUAAACGAUGUCGACUUGGGGUGUGGUUGCCGUUAAGGCGAUUGCGUCCCAAAGCUUACGCGUAAGUCGACCGCCUGGGAACUACGAGCGCAAGCUUAAAACUCAAAGGAAUUGACGGGGCCCGCACAAGCAGCGGAGCGUGUGGUUUAAUUCGACGUAACGCGCAGAACCUUACCCAGGUUGGACAUGCAGCUGCACGCCGGUGAAAGCCGGUUCCUUCGAGGGUGCUGCACAGGUGCUGCAUGGCUGUCGUCAGCUCGUGUCGUGAGAUGUUGGGUUAAG
rnacentral:rRNA from 1 species